UAUAGUUUAGUGUAGUGGCACGCCGGCCUUUGAUGCCUCAGGACUAUUUGCAGCAAUAGAACUAUUU
rnacentral:tRNA from 1 species